rnacentral:rRNA from 1 species
UACGUAGGUGGCGAGCGUUGUCCGGAUUUACUGGGCGUAAAGCGCGUGUAGGCGGUUGUUCAAGUCAGGUGUGAAAGCCUUGAGCUCAACUCAAGAAAUGCACUUGAUACUGGAUGACUAGAGGACCGGAGAGGAUAGUGGAAUUCCCAGUGUAGUGGUGAAAUACGUAGAGAUUGGGAAGAACACCAGUGGCGAAGGCGGCUAUCUGGACGGUUUCUGACGCUAAGACGCGAAAGCGUGGGGAGCAAACAGG